rnacentral:rRNA from 1 species
UACAGAGGUCUCAAGCGUUGUUCGGAUUCAUUGGGCGUAAAGGGUGCGUAGGCGGCGCGGUAAGUCGGGUGUGAAAUCUCGGAGCUUAACUCCGAAACUGCAUUCGAUACUGCCGUGCUUGAGGACUGGAGAGGAGACUGGAAUUUACGGUGUAGCGGUGAAAUGCGUAGAUAUCGUAAGGAAGACCAGUGGCGAAGGCGGGUCUCUGGACAGUCCUACCGUGAGCAGCGAAGGUCAGGGGAGCAAACGGG